UGGUGACCAGCGGAGGGAUCAUUACCGAGUUUACAACUCCCAAACCCAAUGUGAACGUUACCAAACUGUUGCCUCGGCGGGAUCUCUGCCCCGGGUGCGUCGCAGCCCCGGACCAAGGCGCCCGCCGGAGGACCAACCAAAACUCUUAUUGUAUACCCCCUCGCGGGUUUUUUUAUAAUCUGAGCCUUCUCGGCGCCUCUCGUAGGCGUUUCGAAAAUGAAUCAAAACUUUCAACAACGGAUCUCUUGGUUCUGGCAUCGAUGAAGAACGCAGCGAAAUGCGAUAAGUAAUGUGAAUUGCAGAAUUCAGUGAAUCAUCGAAUCUUUGAACGCACAUUGCGCCCGCCAGUAUUCUGGCGGGCAUGCCUGUCCGAGCGUCAUUUCAACCCUCGAACCCCUCCGGGGGGUCGGCGUUGGGGAUCGGCCCUGCCUUGGCGGUGGCCGUCUCCGAAAUACAGUGGCGGUCUCGCCGCAGCCUCUCCUGCGCAGUAGUUUGCACACUCGCAUCGGGAGCGCGGCGCGUCCACAGCCGUUAAACACCCAACUUCUGAAAUGUUGACCUCGGAUCAGGUAGGAAUACCCGCUGAACUUAAGCAUAUCAAUAA
rnacentral:rRNA from 1 species